rnacentral:rRNA from 1 species
UACGUGCCAGCAGCCGCGGUAAUAUGUAGUUGGCAAGCGUUGUCCGGAUUUAUUGGGCGUAAAGCGAGCGCAGGCGGUUUUUUAAGUUGAUGUUAAAGCCCCCGGCUCAACCGGGGAGGGUCAUUGGAAACUGGGAGACUUGAGUGCAGAAGAGGAGAGUGGAAUUCCAUGUGUAGCGGUGAAAUGCGUAGAUAUAUGGAGGAACACCAGUGGCGAAGGCGGCUCCUCUGGUCUGUAACUGACGCUGAGGCUCGAAAGCGUGGGGAGCAAAACAGGAUUAGAUACCCUGGUAGUCCACGCCGUAAACGAUGAGUGCUAAGUGUUGGAGGGUUUCCGCCCUUCAGUGCUGCAGCAAACGCAUUAAGCACUCCGCCUGGGGAGUACGACCGCAAGGUUGAAACUCAAAGGAAUUGACGGGGGCCCGCACAAGCGGUGGAGCAUGUGGUUUAAUUCGAAGCAACGCGAAGAACCUUACCAGGUCUUGACAUCCUUUGACCACUCUAGAGUAUAGAGGCUUUCCCUUCGGGGACAAAGUGACAGGUGGUGCAUGGUUGUCGUCAGCUCGUGUCGUGAGAUGUUGGGUUAAGUCCCGCAACGAGCGCAACCCUUAUUGUUAGUUGCCAUCAUUUAGUUGGGCACUCUAGCCGAGACUGCCGGUGACAAACCGGAGGAAGGUGGGGAUGACGUCAAAUCAUCAUGCCCCUUAUGACCUGGGCUACACACGUGCUACAAUGGGAAGUACAACGAGUCGCUAGACCGCGAGGUCAUGCAAAUCUCUUAAAGC